GCCUUCGUGGUGUAGUGGUCAGCACACUCGGCGCGUUUUUGAGAGGUCCGUGGUUCGAGUCUCAGCGAGGGCA
rfam:Stegodyphus mimosarum contig68066, whole genome shotgun sequence.